GACGAACGCUGGCGGCGUGCUUAACACAUGCAAGUCGAACGGAAAGGCCCUGCUUUUGUGGGGUGCUCGAGUGGCGUACGGGUGAGUAACACGUGAGUAACCUGCCCUUGACUUUGGGAUAACUUCAGGAAACUGGGGCUAAUACCGGAUAGGAGCUCCUGCUGCAUGGUGGGGGUUGGAAAGUUUCGGCGGUUGGGGCUGGACUCGCGGCUUAUCAGCUUGUUGGUGGGGUAGUGGCUUACCAAGGCUUUGACGGGUAGCCGGCCUGAGAGGGUGACCGGCCACAUUGGGACUGAGAUACGGCCCAGACUCCUACGGGAGGCAGCAGUGGGGAAUAUUGCACAAUGGGCGGAAGCCUGAUGCAGCAACGCCGCGUGCGGGAUGACGGCCUUCGGGUUGUAACCCGCUUUCGCCUGUGACGAAGCGUGAGUGACGGUAAUGGGUAAAGAAGCACCGGCUAACUACGUG
rnacentral:rRNA from 1 species